rnacentral:lncRNA from 1 species
UUUUUCAGUGUAUCGGCUUAGUCUUUAACUUUCCCAUUUAUUUUUAUAUUUGUUUGUGCUGGGGGCAGGAGGGGUGGAGGAGUGGGAAGCCAAGAAGUCACAGGAGCAGCAGCCACAGAGGAGCAGGCUCAGGCUUUCUGAUGUCUAGCUUGGUCCAGGGACCAAACUUCAAAGAUUUACAUCUACAGACAGGUACAUUAUCUUCGAUGCAGUUUCCCCAAAUCUUAUUCAUUUUUAUCAUUUGUCCAUGCGUGUUUAUAUGAGGACCCCUGUGCAGGCCUGUGCCUCAGUGGGGAUAUGGAGGUGAGAGGACCAUUCUGUGAGGAUGUGGAGGUGAGAGGACCAUUCUGUGGAGGUGUGAAGGUGAGAGGACCAUUCUGUGGAGGUGUGGAGGUGAGAGGGCCAUUCUGUGGCAUCUGAUCUCUCCCAUCACUUUUAUGUGAAUCUGGGGAAUCAAACUCAGUUCUCCAGGUUUGCCUGGGAAGCACUCUUGUGCACUGAGCCACCUCUC